rnacentral:hammerhead_ribozyme from 1 species
AUCCAGCUGACAUGUCCCAAAUAGGACGAAACGUACGUCCUGGAU